UAGCUCAGUUGGUAAAGAAUCUGCCUGCAAUGCAGGAGAUCCAGGUUCGAUUCCUGG
rfam:Ovis aries breed Texel chromosome 6, whole genome shotgun sequence.